CCGGUAACAUCAGGCUGAAAUCAAUGUUCCCGUACAAUCCCCGAAGUUCAACAACAUCAAACCUGGUCAGUACCUAGAUGGGUGACCGCUUGGGAAUACCAGGUGCUGUAUG